GCCAGGCAUGGUGGUGCACGCCUGUAGUCCAGCUACUCGGGAGGCUGAGGCGGGAGAAUUGCUUGAACCCAGGAGGUGGAGGUUGCAGUGAGCCAAGAUGGCGCCACUGUACUCCAGCCUGGGUGACAGAGCAAGACUCCGUCUCAA
rnacentral:SRP_RNA from 1 species